rnacentral:rRNA from 1 species
UAACGAAUCUUCCGCAAUGCACGAAAGUGUGACGGAGCGACGCCGCGUGUAGGAUGAAGUCCUUCGGGAUGUAAACUACUGUCAGGGGAAAGAAAGUUCUGAUCUACCCCAGAGGAAGGGACGGCUAACUCUGUGCCAGCAGCCGCGGUAAGACAGAGGUCCCGAGCGUUAGGCGGAAUCACUGGGCUUAAAGCGUGUGUAGGCGGAUUGACAAGUACCUGGUGAAAUCCCACGGCUCAACUGUGGAACUGCUUGGGAUACUGUUGAUCUUGAGACAUGUAGGGGCAACUGGAACAAACGGUGGAGCGGUGAAAUGCGUAGAUAUCGUUUGGAGCGCCAAUGGUGAAAGCAGGUUGCUGGGGAUGUACUGACGCUGAGACACGAAAGCCAGGGGAGCAAACG